rnacentral:rRNA from 1 species
UACAGAGGUCUCAAGCGUUGUUCGGAAUCACUGGGCGUAAGGGUGUGUAGGCGGCGUGAAAAGUCAGGUGUGAAAUCCAGAAGCUCAACUUCUGAAAUGCAUCCGAUACUGUCAUGCUGGAGGUCUGUAGAGGGGUCUGGAAUUCUCGGUGUAGCAGUGAAAUGCGUGGAUAUCGAGAGGAACACUUAUAGCGAAAGCAAGACCCUGGGCAGAGCCUGACGCUGAAACACGAAGGCCAGGGGAGCGAACGGG